rnacentral:rRNA from 1 species
ACGAUGAUGCCCAGCUUGCUGGGCGGAUUAGUGGCGAACGGGUGAGUAAUACGUGAGUAACCUGCCCUUGACUCUGGGAUAAGCCUGGGAAACUGGGUCUAAUACUGGAUACUACCUCUUACCGCAUGGUGGGUGGUGGAAAGGGUUUUACUGGUUUUGGAUGGGCUCACGGCCUAUCAGCUUGUUGGUGGGGUAAUGGCUCACCAAGGCGACGACGGGUAGCCGGCCUGAGAGGGUGACCGGCCACACUGGGACUGAGACACGGCCCAGACUCCUACGGGAGGCAGCAGUGGGGAAUAUUGCACAAUGGGCGGAAGCCUGAUGCAGCGACGCCGCGUGAGGGAUGACGGCCUUCGGGUUGUAAACCUCUUUCAGUAGGGAAGAAGCGAGAGUGACGGUACCUGCAGAAGAAGCGCCGGCUAACUACGUGCCA